rfam:Populus trichocarpa isolate Nisqually-1 chromosome 1, whole genome shotgun sequence.
UCUAGAACUCAAGAUAUGAGCUGAACACCGAACAAUGUCUGAGCUGCAGGAUAGAUUCUGACUUCUCUGUUGUUGCUAAGAUUUGAACUUGAAAACAGCAGAAUUGAUUCUUGGACUCCCAUAAAAGUUUUAGAUCUAUGUCUUAGCUUUCCAUC